UACGAAGGGGGCUAGCGUUGUUCGGAAUUACUGGGUGUAAAGCGCGUGUAGGCGGCAGACCAAGUCGGCGGUGAAAGCGCCCGGCUCAACUGGGCGAGGUCCGUGGAAACUGGUCAGCUGGAGGACGGUAGAGGCGAGUGGAAUUCCCGGUGUAGUGGUGAAAUGCGUAGAGAUCAGGAGGAACACCCGUGGCGAAGGCGGCUCCCUGGUCCGUCCCUGACGCUGAGACGCGAAAGCGCGGGGAGCGAACGGG
rnacentral:rRNA from 1 species